GAGGGAAGGGGGGCAUAUUUUGACAGCCCCUUCUGCCUGGGUGGCGCCUCCUGGGACCUGAAUUUGGUAUCACUUCUGAUUUGGACAGACAGAACUUGGCAGAAGACCAAAGGAUUCCUUCUGAUCUCUUGGAGGCUUCUUGAGAGCCCAGAUGGAUGAGCAAGACUCAGCUGGCCCUGAAGCAGGAAGGGGCCAUGUCAUCAACACUGGGAGCAGUGAGGGAUUCUGGGAAAGCUCUGUGCAGAAGAUCCUGGGUGAGGAGGACACCCUCCGCUCAGAUGUGCAGAG